rnacentral:rRNA from 1 species
UCUGGCGUUCAUCGUCCGAGUUGUAAUUUGGAGGGGUAACUUCGGAAACGACGCCGCUCUAGGUUCCUUUGAACAGGACAUCACAGAGGGUGAGAAUCCCGUGCUUGGGCGGAUCGUCGCGACCAUGUGAAGUGCCUCCGACGAGUCGAGUUGUUUGGGAAUGCAGCUCAAAAUGGGUGGUAAAUUUCAUCUAAAGCUAAAUAUUGGCGAGAGACCGAUAGCGCACAAGUAGAGUGAUCGAAAGAUGAAAAGAACUUUGAAAAGAGGGUCAAACAGUACGUGAAAUUGUUGAAAGGGAAGCGCUUGAGAUCGAACUCAGUCGAUGGCACACAGCCGAGCUUCUGCUCGGUGCACUGGUCGUCGACUGGGCCAGCAUCGGUUCUGACGGCGGGAUAAAGGGUCGGGAAACGUGGCUCGCCUCGUGCGAGUGUUAUAGUCCCGCGCCGUAAUACCGCCAGUCCGGGACCGAGGACCGCGCUUCGGCUAGGAUGCUGGCGUAACGGUCUUAAGCGACCCGUCUUG